rnacentral:rRNA from 1 species
AGCAGCCGCGGUAAUUCCAGCUCCAAUAGCGUAUAUUAAAGUUGUUGCAGUUAAAAAGCUCGUAGUUGAAUUUCGGGAUCAAUAUGUCGGUCGUGCCUUCGGUACGUACUGGUAUCAUUGGUCUCUCCUUUCUGACGAACCAUGAUGUCAUUAAUUUGGUGUUAUGGGGAGUUAGGACUGUUACUUUGAAAAAUUAGAGUGUUUAAAGCAGGCUCACGCUUGAAUACAUUAGCAUGGAAUAAUGAAAUAGGACGUUUGAUUCUAUUUUGUUGGUUUCUAGGAUCGACGUAAUGAUUAAUAGGGAUAGUUGGGGGCAUUAGUAUUCAAUUGUCAGAGGUGAAAUUCUUGGAUUUAUUGAAGACUAACUACUGCGAAAGCAUUUGCCAAGGAUGUUUUCAUUAAUCAAGAACGAAAGUUAGGGGAUCGAAGACGAUCAGAUACCGUCGUAGU